rnacentral:rRNA from 1 species
UACUAAGCGUACGACAAGUAGGGCGGGACACGAGAAAUCCUGUCUGAACAUGGGGGGACCAUCCUCCAAGGCUAAAUACUCGUAAUCGACCGAUAGUGAACCAGUACCGUGAGGGAAAGGCGAAAAGAACCCCGGGAGGGGAGUGAAAUAGAUCCUGAAACCGUGUGCAUACAAACAGUCGGAGCGGACUUGAUCCGUGACGGCGUACCUUUUGUAUAAUGGGUCAGCGACUUACAUUCAGUGGCGAGGUUAACCGGAUAGGGGAGCCGUAGAGAAAUCGAGUCCGAACAGGGCGACAGUCGCUGGGUGUAGACCCGAAACCAAGUGAUCUACCCAUGGCCAGGAUGAAGGUGCGGUAACACGCCCUGGAGGUCCGAACCCACUAAUGUUGAAAAAUUAGGGGAUGAGCUGUGGGUAGGGGUGAAAGGCUAAACAAACUUGGAAAUAGCUGGUUCUCUCCGAAAACUAUUUAGGUAGUGCCUCAAGUAUCACCAUCGGGGGUAGAGCACUGUUAUGGCUAGGGGGUCAUUGCGACUUACCAAACCAUUGCAAACUCCGAAUACCGAUGAGUGCGAGCUUGGGAGACAGACGUCGGGUGCUAACGUCCGGCGUCAAGAGGGAAACAACCCAGACCGCCAGCUAAGGUCCCAAAGAUUGGCUAAGUGGAAAACGAAGUGGGAAGGCUAAAACAGUCAGGAUGUUGGCUUAGAAGCAGCCACCAUUUAAAGAAAGCNCGCCAGCUAAGGUCCCAAAGAUUGGCUAAGUGGAAAACGAAGUGGGAAGGCUAAAACAGUCAGGAUGUUGGCUUAGAAGCAGCCACCAUUUAAAGAAAGCGUAAUAGCUCACUGAUCGAGUCGUCCUGCGCGGAAGAUGUAACGGGGCUAAGCCAGUCACCGAAGCUGCGGAUAUUCUUCUCUUUGCUUGCAUCGAGAUCANNNCGUAAUAGCUCACUGAUCGAGUCGUCCUGCGCGGAAGAUGUAACGGGGCUAAGCCAGUCACCGAAGCUGCGGAUAUCCUUUAUUGGAUAUGGUAGGAGAGCGUUCUGUAAGCCUGCGAAGGUGUCUUGUAAAGGAUGCUGGAGGUAUCAGAAGUGCGAAUGCUGACAUGAGUAGCGAUAAUGCGGGUGAAAAGCCCGCACGCCGUAAGCCCAAGGUUUCCUGUUCAACGUUCAUCGGAGCAGGGUGAGUCGGCCCCUAAGGCGAGGCAGAGAUGCGUAGCUGAUGGGAAGCAGGUUAAUAUUCCUGCACCGUCGUAUGAUGCGAUGGGGGGACGGAUCGCGGAAGGUUGUCCAGCUGUUGGAAUAGCUGGUUUCUGGUUCAUAGAAGGCACUUAGGCAAAUCCGGGUGCGUAAUUCAAGGGACUGGGACGUGUGUCCAUGUGANGCUGACAUGAGUAGCGAUAAUGCGGGUGAAAAGCCCGCACGCCGUAAGCCCAAGGUUUCCUGUUCAACGUUCAUCGGAGCAGGGUGAGUCGGCCCCUAAGGCGAGGCAGAGAUGCGUAGCUGAUGGGAAGCAGGUUAAUAUUCCUGCACCGUCGUAUGAUGCGAUGGGGGGACGGAUCGCGGAAGGUUGUCCAGCUGUUGGAAUAGCUGGUUUCUGGUUCAUAGAAGGUACUUAGGCAAAUCCGGGUACAUAAUUCAAGGGACUGGGACGUGUGGCCAUGCGACACGAAGCAAUCGGAAGUGGUUCCAAGAAAAGCCUCUAAGCUUCAGUCAUACGAGACCGUACCGCAAACCGACACAGGUGGGCGAGAUGAGUAUUCUAAGGCGCUUGAGAGAACUCGGGAGAAGGAACUCGGCAAAUUGGUACCGUAACUUCGGGAAAAGGUACGCCUCGGUAGCUUGACCACUUUACUGUGGAAGGGCGAAAAGGUUGCAAUAAACUGGUGGCUGCGACUGUUUAAUAAAAACACAGCACUCUGCAAACACGAAAGUGGACGUAUAGGGUGUGACGCCUGCCCGGUGCUGGAAGAUUAAAUGAUGGGGUGCAAGCUCUUGAUUGAAGUCCCAGUAAACGGCGGCCGUAACUAUAACGGUCCUAAGGUAGCGAAAUUCCUUGUCGGGUAAGUUCCGACCUGCACGAAUGGCGUAACGAUGGCCACACUGUCUCCUCCCGAGACUCAGCGAAGUUGAAAUGUUUGUGAUGAUGCAAUCUACCCGCGGCUAGACGGAAAGACCCCAUGAACCUUUACUGUAGCUUUGCAUUGGACUUUGAACCAAUCUGUGUAGGAUAGGUGGGAGGCUUUGAAGCGGGGACGCCAGUUCUCGUGGAGCCAUCCUUGAAAUACCACCCUGGUUUGUUUGAGGUUCUAACCUUGGUCCGUUAUCCGGAUCGGGGACAGUGCAUGGUAGGCAGUUUGACUGGGGCGGUCUCCUCCUAAAGUGUAACGGAGGAGUUCGAAGGUACGCUAGGUACGGUCGGACAUCGUGCUAAUAGUGCAAUGGCAUAAGCGUGCUUAACUGCGAGACCGACAAGUCGAGCAGGUACGAAAGUAGGACAUAGUGAUCCGGUGGUUCUGUAUGGAAGGGCCAUCGCUCAACGGAUAAAAGGUACUCUGGGGAUAACAGGCUGAUUCCUCCCAAGAGUUCAUAUCGACGGGGGAGUUUGGCACCUCGAUGUCGGCUCAUCACAUCCUGGGGCUGUAGCCGGUCCCAAGGGUAUGGCUGUUCGCCAUUUAAAGUGGUACGUGAGCUGGGUUUAAAACGUCGUGAGACAGUUUGGUCCCUAUCUGCCGUGGGCGUUGGAAAUUUGAAGGGGGCUGCUCCUAGUACGAGAGGACCGGAGUGGACGAACCUCUGGUGUACCGGUUGUCACGCCAGUGGCAUUGCCGGGUAGCUAAGUUCGGAAGAGAUAACCGCUGAAAGCAUCUAAGCGGGAAACUUGCCUUGAGAUGAGAUUUCCCGGAGCCUUGAGCUCCUUGAAGGGUCGUUCGAGACCAGGACGUUGAUAGGCUGGGUGUGGAAGUGCAGUAAUGCAUUAAGCUAACCAGUACUAAUUGCCCGUACGGCUUGUCCCU